AAACCUGACAUUGUAGUUACUUGGAUUUCAGCCAUAUUCUUGAACAUGAUGAACUUCACAACCUGGCUGGACGGCUGAGUGAACUCAAAGAAGAACUGCGGAAAGCUAAAGAGACCAACCAACCCUCCACCUCUCCAGGAGGUCAACAGGAAACACAGACUCCUUCCCAAAAGGACUCUGAGGGGAUUGAAGAGAUGGAGAUGGAAUCUUUACUGGGUCCUGAGAGGGGAGGAAGAGUUUAGUUUCCUUAGUUAAAUAGUUAACUCUUGUUAGAAUCUGUUACAGACUCUCUUAUGUCCAGUACCUGAUAAUCAGGUAUAUCAACAAGACCACAGGACGAAUGUCUCCUGUUAGAAUCUGUUACAGACUCUCUAAUGUCCAGUACCUGAUAAUCACAGGUUUCUCA